AAUUUUCGGCAAUGGGGGCAACCCUGACCGAGCGACGCCGCGUGAGUGAAGAAGGUCUUCGGAUUGUAAAGUUCUGUUGUUAGGGAAGAAUAAGUGCCAUUCAAAUAGGUUGGCACCUUGACGGUACCUGACUAGAAAGCCCCGGCUAACUACGUGCCAGCAGCCGCGGUAAUACGUAGGUGGCAAGCGUUGUCCGGAUUUAUUGGGCGUAAGGCGCGCGCAGGCGGUCUUUUAAGUCUGAUGUGAAAUCUUACAGCUUAACUGUAAGCGGUCAUUGGAAACUGGGAGACUUGAGUGCAGAAGAGGAGAGUGGAAUUCCAUGUGUAGCGGUGAAAUGCGUAGAGAUAUGGAGGAACACCAGUGGCGAAGGCGACUCUCUGGUCUGUAACUGACGCUGAGGCGCGAAAGCGUGGGGAUCAAACA
rnacentral:rRNA from 1 species